UACAGAGGUCUCAAGCGUUGUUCGGAUUCAUUGGGCGUAAAGGGUGUGUAGGUGGCGCGCUAAGUCGGGUGUGAAAUUUCGGAGCUUAACUCCGAAACUGCAUUCGAUACUGGCGUGCUUGAGGACUGGAGAGGAGACUGGAAUUCAUGGUGUAGCAGUGAAAUGCGUAGAGAUCAUGAGGAAGACCAGUGGCGAAGGCGGGUCUCUGGACAGUUCCUGACGCUGAGGCACGAAGGCCAGGGGAGCAAACGGA
rnacentral:rRNA from 1 species